CGUAUUUCAUAGUCAGAGGACCGACACCUUAGAUUGAGUUUAAGUUUCCUUAUGUCUUUAACCUUCUUUCUUGACCAUGGAACGCUUACCUUGAUGUCCUAAGACUGGCUGGUACGUUUCCUCGAACCAUGGCCGUCCCAACAAUCCUUUCCAGGAUUGGGGGCGUGACACCGGUCGGCUUGGCUCUUCUGUCGGCGGUAUGCUCCUGGUCUUAACUGGCCGGGUCGUGCCUCCAGUGCUGUUACUUUGAAGAAAUCAGAGUGCUCAAAGCAAGCCUACGCUCUGUAUACAUUAGCAUGGGAUAGCAUCAUAGGAUUUUGAUCCUAUUGUGUUGGCCUUCGGGACCGGAGUAAUGAUUAACAAGGACAGUCGGUGUAAUAACCCUGACCUUAGAGGACAAG
rnacentral:ncRNA from 2 species